rnacentral:rRNA from 1 species
UACGGGGGGGGCAAGCGUUGUUCGGAAUUACUGGGCGUAAAGGGCUCGUAGGUGGCCAACUGAGUCAGACGUGAAAUCCCUCGGCUUAACCGGGGAACUGCGUCUGAUACUGGAUGGCUUGAGAUUGGGAGAGGGAUGCGGAAUUCCAGGUGUAGCGGUGAAAUGCGUAGAUAUCUGGAGGAACACCGGUGGCGAAGGCGGCAUCCUGGACCAACACUGACACUGAGGAGCGAAAGCCAGGGGAGCAAACGGG